UUGAACGGUUGCUCUACAAGUUCUAUGUGUAUCUAUUUCUUUUUUUUUUAAUAUACCUUUUUUUUUUUUACUUCGGAAAUGUUUAAAGGGAAGGGGAACCAUGAUGAGGUUCAACUUGUUGACUAUUUAUCGAAUGAGACACUCUACCAUUGAGCUGCCGAUCCAAUAUAGGAAUUUGCAAUGCCACCCUAUCACUACAUCAAUUUCAUCAUCUAUGAUUGCUGAGGCAGUGAAAGAGAAAGCACAGAGCUGAUUCCAUGGGUGUUAUUUCUAGAUUUCCAGAAACUAUGGUCACUUCAGCAUGCAAAUGAAUGCCCCUGCACAAUCUUCAGUUUUUCUCUGAUAAGCCUAUCCUGAUCCUCAUUGGGUUAUUGCGAAAUUGUGAAUCCAUUUUUAGCAUAAAUCCCUUGUUUGUCACUUGUGACCGGGAACUUGAAUUUUCUUCGAGUUGAGAAGUAUAACUGGGCAGAUACAAGAAACUGUGAUAAAUCACCGCCUUUUUCUUAAAAAAAAAAAAAA
rnacentral:misc_RNA from 1 species